rnacentral:lncRNA from 1 species
CCGUGUGUUAUGUAAUAUUACACUCACAAAUCAAUAAUGGAGAAAGUUGAGAUGGCAUUAAAAGGGGGCUGUGAAAGCCAACACAACACAAGAAUGAGAUUAGUGCCCAGUAAAUUUGUAGAUGGAUAUAUGGUUCAAUUGUCACCUGACAUGUUUCAGGGAGCAGACGAGGACAAUGUUGAACAUCAAUCUGAAGUCGAUCCACCUUCUCACAGCUGCAAGAAAGGCCAACAAGAAAGUGAUUCAUCGUCAUCCCAGAACCAAGAUGUUAAUCAUCAGUCACUGACCAAACGAAAUGACGAAUUAGAGAUUGAAAAUGGUUUAUUGUACACACAAUCCAAGAAUUGAACAAAGAGAUUAAUGAUUCAAAACAAGAAUUGAGGCAAACCAAUGCUACUAGUAAAAGUAGCCAGGGGAAAAGAAAAAGGACGAGUAACGAGCUGCAAGUCAUGGUUCCUUUAUUAGCGGGUUCACAUAUAAAAAUCGAAAGAUCAGAAAUAGAUAAAGUGUUGGUCGUUGGAAGGGAAACGAAAGAUAAUUUUGAUUUAAUGAUCAACAAACUCUUGGAAUCCAUUUACUCUAAGACGCUUUGGGGAAGUCGGUCCUUGUCAGGUGGAUGCAAUAAAAAAUAAAAUAAUGGUGCUUCAAACACAGAGCUA